AUGGCCGCAGCGCUCCUGCUCCGCGGCCUCCGCUCGUCGGCGAGCCGGGCGCGCCCCGCCGUCCCCUCGCCGGCCUCGGCCCCGCCGCCCUUCGCCUCCUCGCUCCUCCACCGCCUCUACUCCUCCGCGGCCGCGUCCGCGGCCAGCCCGCCCGCCUCCGCGCUGGGAGGCGUCACCGACCCGGCCCGCAUCCGCAACGUGGCGGUGAUUGCCCACGUCGACCACGGGAAGACGACGCUGAUGGACCGGCUCCUGCGGCAGUGCGGCGCCGACAUCCCCCACGAGCGCGCCAUGGACAACAUCAGCCUCGAGCGCGAGCGCGGCAUCACCAUCUCCUCCAAGGUCACUUCUGUCUCUUGGAAGGAGAAUGAGCUCAACAUGGUCGAUACCCCUGGCCACGCUGAUUUUGGUGGCGAAGUUGAGCGAGUUGUUGGAAUGGUGGAAGGGGCGGUCUUGGUUGUUGAUGCUGGGGAGGGACCUUUAGCACAAACUAAAUUUGUGCUUUCAAAGGCUUUGAAGUAUGGUUUACGCCCAAUCCUCCUCCUCAACAAGGUUGAUAGGCCUUCAGUUUCUGAAGAAACCUGCAACGAAGUUGAGAGCUUGGUCUUCGAUCUUUUUGCAAAUCUGGGUGCCACAGAAGAACAGCUAGAUUUCCCAGUUCUUUAUGCAUCAGCUAAAGAAGGGUGGGCUUCCUUGAAAUUCACUAAGUGUCCGCCUGAUAGUGAAAAAAACAUGUCUCCUUUGCUUGAUUCAAUUGUACAACAUGUUCGUUCCCCAAAAGCUGACCUUGAGGCUCCGUUUCAAAUGUUGGUUUCCAUGAUGGAGCGUGAUUUUUACCUAGGAAGAAUACUCACUGGGCGUGUAACCUCUGGAGUUAUCCGUGUUGGCGACAAAGUUCAUGGUCUGCGCAUCACGGAUGAAGGGGUUCAGAAGAUUGAGGAUGGAAAGGUUGUCAAGCUCAUGAAAAAGAAAGGCACAAGCAUGGCAGUAAUAGAGGCUGCAGGAGCUGGUGAUAUAAUCUCAAUGGCUGGAUUGUCUGGUCCAGCAAUUGGACACACCGUGGCAAAUCCGGAGGUUUUGACUGCUCUGCCUGCAGUUGAGUUGGACCCUCCCACAAUUUCUAUGACUUUCGGUGUGAAUGAUUCACCACUGGCUGGCCGUGAUGGCACUCAUGUAACUGGAGCGAAAAUUGGGAACCGUUUGAUGGCAGAGGCCGAAACAAACUUGGCAAUUAAUGUUCUUCCUGGACCAUUGUCAGAAUCUUAUGAAGUUCAAGGAAGGGGAGAGCUUCAGUUAGGAAUCUUAAUUGAGAACAUGCGGCGUGAAGGAUUUGAGCUUUCAGUUUCACCCCCAAGAGUGAUGUAUAAAACAGAGCGUGGGGAAAGACUAGAGCCUAUUGAAGAAGUAACUGUCGAGGUGGACGAGGAGCAUAUCGGAUUUGUGUUGGAAACCCUUAACAACAGGAAGGGGGAAUUGUUGGACAUGGGCCCUGUUCCUGGGACAACUGGAAGAACUCGGGUCUUCAUGACCUGUCCAUCUAGGGGUUUGGUGGGUGUUAAAGGAGUUUUCAACAGCUUUACACGUGGAACUGGAUUUAUGCACCGUGCUUUCCAGGCAUAUGCUAAAUACAGAGGUCCACUAGGCACUGUUAGAAAAGGAGUUCUGGUAUCUGUUGGCAGAGGAUUUAUCACUUCACAUGCACUCAUGAGUUUAGAAGCUCGUGGUACUCUUUUUGUCUCUCCUGGGAUGGAGACAUACGAAGGCAUGAUAGUUGGCGAGCAUUCACGUGAUAGUGAUCUUGAGAUCAAUCCUGUGAGAACUAAAGAACUUACAAACAUCCGAGCUCCUGGAAAGGAUGAAAAUAUCCGCCUGUCUCCACCUCGCUUGAUGACUUUGGAAGAGGCAAUUGGAUAUGUUGCUGUAGAUGAGCUUAUUGAGGUUACUCCCAAGGUCAUACGGCUUAGGAAGAAAUAUCUGGACGCCAACAAACGCAAGAUGAUGAAAAACAAAAUCAUGCAGUGA
rnacentral:rRNA from 1 species